rnacentral:rRNA from 1 species
UACGAAGGGGGCGAGCGUUGUUCGGAUUUACUGGGCGUAAAGGGCGCGCAGGCGGCGCAUUUUGUCAGGCGUGAAAGCCCCGGGCUUAACCUGGGAACUGCGUUUGAUACGGAUGGGCUAGAGUUCGGGAGAGGAGAGUGGAAUUCCCAGUGUAGAGGUGAAAUUCGUAGAUAUUGGGAAGAACACCGGUGGCGAAGGCAGCUCUCUGGACCGAGACUGACGCUCAGGCGCGAAAGCGUGGGGAGCAAACAGG